rnacentral:rRNA from 1 species
GUCGUAGAUUAAGAAAAUUAUCUACAAAUAAAAUCUUUAUUAGUGAUGGUGAAUUUAAACAUACUAAUGAUAAUGUAAAUAUAACAUUAUAUGUAUAUAAUAGACAAAGACUUAAUUACUUAUUAAAAUUAAGAAAAAGAUAUCUAAGUUUAUUUAGAAAGGUUACAUUUGUAAGAAAAUUACAGUUAAUAAGAAAUGUAGGAUUGAAUAUCUUAAACAAACAACAAGAAAAAAGUAAAAUAUUAACAAAUGUUUUACCUAAUUAUAGUUCAAAAGUAUAUUCAGUACAAAAUCUUUAUUAUAGAAAUUUUAUAAAAAAAUCUCUUAAAAGAUUAAAAUACUACAUGUAUUAUAAACAAUUACUUUAUAUUAAUAAAGCUAAAUUUGAAAAUUCAUAUUUACAAGGUUUAAUAAAUUUAGUAAGAAAAAUAUAUAAAAAAAAUGUAGAAUUUAAUAUUAUUAAUUUAAAAUACUUUUAUUAUAAUAGUGAUAUUUUUACACAACCUUUAGUAUUAAAAUUAAGAAAAAAAAGAAAAUUAUUAAGAUAUCUUAAAGCUUUAGUUAGAAAAGCAAAAAUUAAAGAUAUUAAAUUAAAUGAAAGAUCAAAAUAUUUUUUUGAAUUAGAAAAUUUAUUUAAAUUAAAUAAUCUUGAUACUACAAAUAAUUUAUUAAAUAAAUUAAUAGAACAAAAUAAAACAAGUUCAAAAGAUCUUAAAAAAGUUGUAUUAAAUGAUAUAAAAUUUAAAAGAGUAUCAGGUGUUAGAUUAGAAGCUGCAGGUAGAUUAACUAGACGUUAUACAGCUUCAAGAUCUCAACACAAAGUUAGAUAUAGUGGUAAUUUAAUAAAUGCUUAUUCUUCUAUUAAAGGUUAUCCUUCAGCUGUAAUAAGAGGAAAUUAUAAACCUAAUAUACAAUAUACUAAAUUAAAUUCUAAAUCACGUAUUGGAUCUUUUGGUGUUAAAGGUUGAGUAAGUGGUGUUUAAUAAUUAAAUUUAAAUAUACCUAAAUUAGUUAAUAAAGAUGAUGAAAUAGUCUGAACCAUUUUGAGAAAAAUGGAAAUAAAAGGAAAAACCUUUUAUGAUAACAUAAAUUGAACAGGCUAAUUUGCGCAAGAGAGUACAAAUUGAGUGCGCGGUUUGGCACCUCGAUGUCGGCUUAGCUCAUCCACAUGAAUGCAAAAAUCAUGAAGGGUUCGACUGUUCGUCGAUUAAAGAGCUACAUGAGCUGGGUUUAAUACGUCGUGAGACAGUAUGGUUUCUAUCUUCUAGAGGGAAUUAAAGUAGAAUAAAGAUAGCCCCUUCGUACGAAAGGAGUUGGGUAUAUUGACCUAUGGUUUACCUGUUGUUUAUGUUAUAUAUUAUUAUACAUAAUAUAUCAUUUACUUAUACUUAAGUAAAUUGUUCACAUAGGCAUGGCAG